UCAUUUGUCAGUUUGUUGGCUGAAUGGCAAUUUUCAUGAGGUUUUUUGGGGACUGAAAAAGCAUGCAUUUUGAUUCAUUUGUCAUUGCCUGCAGGAACCCAUCAAAGUCAUCUUUAACCAUUCUGAGAAAGUGUUUGACUGGUGGUAAUAUUUUGCGCCGGAUAUUGAAUAAGCUCGGACCCGGCUCUGAAGGUGAUUCCAAUUUUCUUCAGUUUCCUCGGAAAAAUAAAAAAAAUCUCUGCGGCAGCUACAAGAUGAUCUAGACUAACCAUCCGAAAGCAGUGAAGCUUAACAAUCAAAUGAGAUCUCAGAGCCAGUUCCUCACUCCCAAAUGAUCCCCAGUCUACAACAUUAUCUCCAGCAACUCUCGCGGCUACUCGUACGCCAUGUCUCGUCCCAACAUCAAAACCUCUCUGCAAAACUCGUUCUCUAUCACGAUCCUUCAGCGCAACUAUCUUACAUGGAAGUAUCCCAGAAAUUCUAUGAAGCCAUGAAAGCCUGUACGUACCUUAAGUCCACACCCAUUGCCCAAAAGCUUCAUGCUCAGCUCAUCUCCACUGGUCUAGACUCCUCCAUUUUCCUCCAGAACCAUCUCUUGCACCUGUACUCCAAUUGCAAUUUGAUCAACGACGCUUGUCGGGUUUUUAAUAGUAUCGAGAAUCAUAAUGUUUUUAGUUGGAAUACGAUGAUAACUGGUCUGGUGGAGUCGGGUCGGAUGAGUGAAGCGGAGAAGCUAUUCGGGGAAAUGCCUGAAAGAGACUCUGUUUCUUGGACUGCGAUGAUGUCGGGCUAUUUCCAUAAUAAACAACCGGAGAAUACUGUAAAUAUGUUUUCUUUGAUGGUACGAAAUGGAAACUAUGCUGAUGACCCAUUUCCCUCUACUUGUGCAAUGAAGGCUUGCGGUAAUCUUGGCUACACAAAGUUGGCUCUUCAAUUGCACGGUCUUGUGGAGAAGUUUGAUUUUGGAAGCGAUGCAUAUAUGGCUAUUCAGAAUUCAAUAAUGGAUAUGUAUAUCAAGUCUGGAAAAGUGAACUAUGCUGAGAGAGUGUUUUUAAGGAUCCCGAACCCGAGCUUGUUUUGUUGGAACAGUAUGAUCUACGGUUACUCUAAACUGUACGGGGUUGGAAGUGCUCUUCGUUUGUUUGACCAAAUGCCUGAACGUGACUGUGUGUCUUGGAACACUAUGAUUUCGAUCUUCUCUCAACAUGGCUCUGGGGUUCAGAGCCUCAGUAUGUUUGUUGAGAUGUGGAAUCAAGGUAUUAGACCAAAUUCCAUGACGUAUGCCAGCGUACUUAGUGCGUGCACAAGUAUCUAUGAUCUGGAAUGGGGGAGCCAUUUGCAUGCUCGGGUUAUCCGCAUGGAACCGACUCUCGAUGCUUUUGUAGGUAGUGGUUUGGUUGAUAUGUAUGCAAAAUGUGGAUGCUUGGAGUUUGCAAAGCGGGUAUUUGAUGGCUUAACGGAACAGAAUGCGGUUUCUUGGACUUCUUUAAUCAGUGGAUUUGCACUGUUUGGGCUUGAAGAAGAAGCUUUGCUACUCUUUAAUCAAAUGAGAGAGGCUUCUGUUGCGUUGGAUGAAUUUACUUUUGCAACAAUUCUUGGCGUUUGUUCAGCUCAGAAGGAUGCUUCAAUCGGGGAACAGCUACAUGGAUGUACAAUCAAGAGUGGAAUGGAUUCCUCCGUUGCUGUAGGAAAUGCUGUUGUUACGAUGUAUGCUAAGUGUGGAAAUGCUCAGAAAGCAAACCGUGUAUUUGAAUUGAUGCCAACUAAAGACAUAAUAUCAUGGACAGCGAUGAUCACAGUAUUCUCUCAGGUGGGAAAUAUUGAAAAAGCUCAAAAUUAUUUUGACAAAAUGCCGGAGCGGAAUGUCAUUACAUGGAAUACAAUGUUAGGCACAUAUACUCAACAUGGCUUUUGGGAAGAAGGUCUCAAAUUGUAUACUGUGAUGAGAAGGCAAGGUGUUAAGCCUGAUUGGAUCACUUUUGCAACUUCAAUUAGCGCCUGUGCUGAUUUAGCAACACUAAAACUUGGGAUUCAAAUUGUAACUCAAGCCAAAAAAUCAGGCUUUGGUUCUAAUGUUUCAGUUGCAAAUAGCGUUGUUACCAUGUAUUCAAGAUGUGGACGAAUUGAAGAAGCACACAAAAUUUUUGAUUUCAUACACGGGAAAAAUUUGAUUUCUUGGAAUGCUAUAAUGGCAGGAUAUGCACAAAACGGUCAAGGUAGGAAAGUAAUAGAGAUUUUUGAGAAUAUGUUGAAAAUGAAAUGCUCACCUGAUCAUAUAAGCUACGUAUCUGUUCUAUCAGGUUGUAGCCAUUCAGGGCUUGUAAUAGAAGGAAAGCAUUACUUUUAUUCCAUGACUGAAGAUUUUGGCAUCUCUCCAACAUCUGAGCAUUUUGCUUGUAUGGUGGAUCUGCUUGGUCGGGCUGGACUACUGGAGGAGGCCAAGAAUUUGAUUGAUGGAAUGCCUUUUAAGCCCAAUGUUGCUAUUUGGGGGGCUCUGCUCGGUGCCUGUCGUACACAUCAAGACUCAAAAUUGGCAGAAUAUGCAGUGAAGAACUUACUUGAGUUAAAUGCGGACGAUUCUGGAAGUUACAUCCUUCUAGCAAACACAUAUACAGAUUGUGGAAAAUUAGACGGACUUGCAGAUGUGAGAAAACUGAUGAGAGAGAAAGGAAUCCGAAAAAAUCCUGGUUGUAGCUGGAUAGAGGUUGAAAAUAGGGUACACGUGUUCACUGUUGAUGACACUAAUCACCCACAAAUCAAGGACAUUUACAGAAUGUUGGAGGUGAUCAUGAAGAAGAUAGAAGAUAUUGGAAGCUACACUAAUGCAAUUACUUCUCUUCGUUCUCAGGGUUACCACAGUGAAAAGCUUGCUGUGGCUUUUGGUUUGAUUAGCUUGCCUGCUUGGAUGCCUAUCCAUGUAAUGAAGAAUCUUCGAGUGUGCAAUGAUUGCCACUUGGUAAUAAAGCUGAUUUCUCUUGUUACCUCAAGGGAGCUUAUAGUGCGCGAUGCAUACCGAUUUCAUCAUUUCAAGUAUGGGUUUUGCACUUGUGGAGAUUACUGGUGAUCUAAAGUUUUAUGCACAUUUGAAGUGCUAAUAAAAAUAUGGAUCUGGCAUUGCUCUGUUCUGAAAGGGUCAUCUUGUAAUACAAGCCCGUUGCGCAUGCAAAGCUCUCAGUUUGGUUUACUCUUUACCGCAACUAGUUUCCAUGUCUUCCUUGUGUUGCAUAUUCUUCUUAUCUUUGGGAAGUGCUGGUUAUAGAACUGGUGAAGUUCAUUCACUUAUUUAUCCAUGAAAAUUUAUUUAUAUAUAUACAUAUAUUUAUCCAUGAAAAUGUAUAGGUCUAUAUUUAUAUGUAAUAUUUGUUAUUAUGUCAUAUUUGAUUGUAUCAGCAUUUUAAGGUUACAGUUGCAUAGAUUAUGAUGGAGUAACUUAGAGGAGGGAAACAUAAGACGGUACAACUCACCUGGUAUACAUUUAAGUAUUUCUAGAACAUCAACCCUCUUUCUAUUCCUUCUCAGAAUACAGUUUUCGCAUCUCAACGAGGGCCCAGAAUUCCUGAAGUUUGGCCAAAAUAUCCCCUAGAUUUGAUUUUUUGGAAAACAUUUAUUCGUCACAAUUAUGUUUCAGUUGAUUUUAUUUUAUUUUUCGUGUUCUUGAAAGGUUUCUUUAUAUUUCUUUUCUUGUAUCAACCCUUAGGUGUUGGCUCAAGAGGUAAGGGCCUUGGUCUUGGGGAUAUGCUUCCCUCAAGUCUAAGGUUGGAACCCUUUGGUGCAAACAAGUCCUAGGGGUCAUGUCCCAUCACUGGAAAACCGAUGAUUUACUUGAUCCGUGUGAUGGUGGAGCAUAUUACACUGGUCUGGCGUUCAUUCAGGUUUGUUGAUGUUUUGUUUAGAGAAGAAAGUUGAGCCUAAUAUUGAAGCCAAACUAUGCUCUGAAUCUGAUGCAAAAUUGUAGAUGAACAUGAGAGCACAAGAGAGUGAGUGAGAGAAAAUCUGCUGAAGUGGGAAGAUUAAAUAAUCACCUUUAUGCAGACAAGUACAGAUUUCUCGCUAGCGCCGACAAAUAGAAACACGCUGACCAGAGAAACUGAUGGAGGAGGAAUAUCUGCUCAAUCUUCAUGAAGUUCUGGAGGAGACGGAUGAUGCUUCAUUCAAUCCAAAUUGGAUUGCUUUAUAUACUCCCCUUUUCAUGAAAGAAAUUUUCUUAAAUACAAAUUCUGAAAAGCUGCAAGGAUGAAAAAAGAAAAAUUAUAUUUGCAAGUUGGUGUGUCGUCCAUAUCGGCGCGGAGGUGGUCUGUCCUCCUUAUCGACUUGCAUGAAGGACUUUGGGAAAAAAAAUCAGGGCGCUAACAUGAUUUACUCUGCUUAAUUCUCUUGUAAGUUGUCACAAUAAGUCAUCAGUUAUAUUUUAAUAGUAGGAUGAUCAACUCAACAAGAGACAUCCUUAUUUCUAAAAAGGUAUGCUAACCUUGAUUGUAUCCUGUU